ACGCGUAUAGAACUUACCUUUUACAGAGGGAUAGCCUUUAGAAAUGAAGAUUAAUACCUCAUAGUAUUGUUGACUGGCAUCAGUUAAUAAUUAAAGAUUUAUCGGUAAAAGAUGGCUAUGCGUCCUAUUAGCUAGAUGGUAAGGUAACGGCUUACCAUGGCAACGAUAGGUAGGGGUCCUGAGAGGGAGAUCCCCCACACUGGUACUGAGACACGGACCAGACUCCUACGGGAGGCAGCAGUGAGGAAUAUUGGGCAAUGGAGGCAACUCUGACCCAGCCAUGCCGCGUGCAGGAAGACGGCCCUAUGGGUUGUAAACUGCUUUUAUACAGGAAGAAACACUGCUACGUGUAGCAGCUUGACGGUACUGUAAGAAUAAGGACCGGCUAACUCCGUGCCAGCAGCCGCGGUAAUACGGAGGGUCCAAGCGUUAUCCGGAAUCAUUGGGUUUAAAGGGUCCGCAGGCGGUCAAUUAAGUCAGAGGUGAAAUCCCAUAGCUCAACUAUGGAACUGCCUUUGAUACUGGUUGACUUGAGUCAUAUGGAAGUAGAUAGAAUGUGUAGUGUAGCGGUGAAAUGCAUAGAUAUUACACAGAAUACCGAUUGCGAAGGCAGUCUACUACGUAUGUACUGACGCUCAUGGACGAAAGCGUGGGGAGCGAACAGGAUUAGAUACCCUGGUAGUCCACGCCGUAAACGAUGGACACUAGUUGUUGGGCAUUAGCUCAGUGACUAAGCGAAAGUGAUAAGUGUCCCACCUGGGGAGUACGAUCGCAAGAUUGAAACUCAAAGGAAUUGACGGGGGCCCGCACAAGCGGUGGAGCAUGUGGUUUAAUUCGAUGAUACGCGAGGAACCUUACCAGGGCUUAAAUGUAGUAUGACAGGUUUAGAGAUAGACUUUUCUUCGGACAUAUUACAAGGUGCUGCAUGGUUGUCGUCAGCUCGUGCCGUGAGGUGUCAGGUUAAGUCCUAUAACGAGCGCAACCCCUGUCGUUAGUUGCCAGCAAGUAAAGUUGGGGACUCUAACGAGACUGCCUACGCAAGUAGAGAGGAAGGUGGGGAUGACGUCAAAUCAUCACGGCCCUUACGUCCUGGGCCACACACGUGCUACAAUGGUAUGGACAAUGAGCAGCCAUCUGGCAACAGAGAGCGAAUCUAUAAACCAUAUCACAGUUCGGAUCGGAGUCUGCAACUCGACU
rnacentral:rRNA from 1 species